CCUACGGGUGGCUGCAGUGGGGAAUAUUGGACAAUGGGCGAAAGCCUGAUCCAGCCAUGCCGCGUGUGUGAAGAAGGCCUUCGGGUUGUAAAGCACUUUCAGUGGGGAAGAAAGCCUUGGGGCUAAUACCCUCGAGGAAGGACAUCACCCACAGAAGAAGCACCGGCUAACUCCGUGCCAGCAGCCGCGGUAAUACGGAGGGUGCGAGCGUUAAUCGGAAUUACUGGGCGUAAAGCGCGCGUAGGCGGUCUGAUAAGCCGGUUGUGAAAGCCCCGGGCUCAACCUGGGAACGGCAUCCGGAACUGUCAGGCUAGAGUGCAGGAGAGGAAGGUAGAAUUCCCGGUGUAGCGGUGAAAUGCGUAGAGAUCGGGAGGAAUACCAGUGGCGAAGGCGGCCUUCUGGACUGACACUGACGCUGAGGUGCGAAAGCGUGGGUAGCAAACAGGAUUAGAUACCCCGGGAGUC
rnacentral:rRNA from 1 species